rnacentral:rRNA from 1 species
UACGAGGGGUGCAAGCGUUGCUCGGAAUUAUUGGGCGUAAAGGGUAGGUAGGUGGUCUCAUUUGUCUGGGGUGAAAGCCUUGAGCUUAACUCAAGAAGUGCCCCAGAAACGGUGAGACUCGAGUCUUGGAGAGGGAUGUGGAAUUCCAGGUGUAGCGGUGAAAUGCGUAGAUAUCUGGAGGAACACCGGUGGCGAAGGCGGCAUCCUGGACCAACACUGACGCUGAGGCGCGAAAGCUAGGGGAGCAAACGGG